CCUACGGGUGGCAGCAGUGAGGAAUAUUGGUCAAUGGCCGGAAGGCUGAACCAGCCAAGCCGCGUGAAGGACGAAGGUGCCAAGCAUUGUAAACUUCUUUUGUCAAGGGACAAAAUCAGGCUCGAGAGCCUGACCGAGGGUACUUGAAGAAAAAGCAUCGGCUAACUCCGUGCCAGCAGCCGCGGUAAUACGGAGGAUGCGAGCGUUAUCCGGAAUGACUGGGCGUAAAGGGUGCGUAGGUGGUUUGACAAGUUGGUAGCGUAACUCCGGGGCUCAACCUCGGCACUACUACCAAAACUGUCGGACUUGAGUGCAGGAGGGGCAAAUGGAAUUCCUAGUGUAGCGGUGGAAUGCGUAGAUAUUAGGAGGAACACCAGUGGCGAAGGCGAUUUGCUGGACUGUAACUGACACUGAGGCACGAAAGCGUGGGGAGCAAACAGGAUUAGAUACCCGUGUAGUC
rnacentral:rRNA from 1 species